GAUGAAUGCUAGCUACAGGCUUAACACAUACAAGUCGAGGGGAAACGACAUCGAAAGCUUGCUUUUGAUGGGCGUCGACCGGCGCACGGGUGAGUAACGCGUAUCCAACCUGCCCAUCACUUGGGAAUAACCUUGCGAAAGUAAGACUAAUACCCAAUGAUAUCCCACGAAGGCAUCGGAAUGGGAUUAAAGAUUUAUCGGUGAUGGAUGGGGAUGCGUCUGAUUAGCUUGUUGGCGGGGUAACGGCCCACCAAGGCAACGAUCAGUAGGGGUUCUGAGAGGAAGGUCCCCCACAUUGGAACUGAGACACGGUCCAAACUCCUACGGGAGGCAGCAGUGAGGAAUAUUGGUCAAUGGGCGAGAGCCUGAACCAGCCAAGUAGCGUGCAGGAAGACGGCCCUAUGGGUUGUAAACUGCUUUUAUAAGGGAAUAAAGUGGGUCACGUGUGACUUUUUGCAUGUACCUUAUGAAUAAGGACCGGCUAAUUCCGUG
rnacentral:rRNA from 1 species